rnacentral:rRNA from 1 species
GUGUGGUUGUCGGGAUCCUGGGCUGUGGUGGUCGUUUAGGCCGCGGGGGGCAACUCUCGAGAAAGGGCGCUUUUAUUAGAUCAAAACCAGUCGAGAGCUUCGGCUCUCGUUAAGUUUGGUGACUCUGGAUAACUUCACGCUGAUCGCACGGUCUUCGCACCGGCGACGAUUCUUUCAAAUGUCUGCCUUAUCAACUGUCGAUGGUAGGUUAUGCGCCUACCAUGGUUGCAACGGGUAACGGGGAAUCGGGGUUCGAUUCCGGAGAGGGAGCCUGAGAAACGGCUACCACAUCCAAGGAAGGCAGCAGGCGCGCAAAUUACCCACUCCCGGCACGGGGAGGUAGUGACGAAAAAUAACGAUACGGGACUCUUCCGAGGCCCCGUGAUUGGAAUGAGUACACUUUAAAUCCUUUAACGAGGACCCAUUGGAGGGCAAGUCUGGUGCCAGCAGCCGCGGUAACUCCAGCUCCAAUAGCGUAUAUUAAAGUUGUUGCGGUUAAAAAGCUCGUAGUCGGAGUUCUGUCUUCGGCCGAGGGGGGAUUCUGCCUACACGGUAUGAGUCUCGUUCCCUUUGGGUGUGCGGUGUCAAAGCCGUGCACUCUUAACGGUCGGACAAGUCCGUCGGAGUGUGGUUAUUGUUGGAGGGGCAACCGACCAAUGAGGCCACCGUAAUCGUUCGGGGUGCCUUUAAUCGGGUGUCUCGGGCGGCCGACAUAGUUUACUUUGAACAAAUUAGAGUGCUCAAAGCAGGUGACUACCGCCUGAAUAGUACAGCAUGGAAUGAUGAAAGAGGACCUCGGUCUGAUUUUGCUGGUCUUUAACGGUCGGGCUUCGGCCCGGCCUAUGCAGACCCGAGGUAAUGGUCAAUAGAGACGGACGGGGGCAUCCGUACUGCGGCGACAGAGGUGAAAUUCUUGGACCGCCGCAAGACGAACGACAGCGAAGGCAUUUGCCAAGAAUGUUUUCCUUGAUCAAGAACGAAAGUUAGAGGUUCGAAGGCGAUCAGAUACCGCCCUAGUUCUAACCAUAAACGAUGCCAACUAGCGAUCCGCCGGUGUUACUCCCAUGACUCGGCGGGCAGCUUCCGGGAAACCAAAGUCUUUGGGUUCCGGGGGAAGUAUGGUUGCAAAGCUGAAACUUAAAGGAAUUGACGGAAGGGCACCACCAGGAGUGGAGCCUGCGGCUUAAUUUGACACAACACGGGAAACCUCACCAGGCCCGGACACUGGAAGGAUUGACAGAUUGAGAGCUCU